GCAGCCCCUGGGAAACGUCUAGGUGAGAAACAGCAGUAACAUUAAGCCUGGAGUUAAACAAGAAGCCACUGUGCCUCCCAGAAGUGGUCUUAAAACAGGGAGGGCAAUUCCUAAAUUUAAAAAUUUAAUCAUAGUAGGUUGACUUAAUAGGCUUUUAUCUUCAAUUACUUUCUCUUAUUGGAUUUCUCUCCUCACACUUUGUAGUUUUAUUGGUCUUAGCCCUGAAAACCAUUAUAGUGAUGUGUCUAGAGUUGAGAUGAAAUUUGAUUUUCAUGGUGGCUAACUGCACAGAAAUCCGGCAGAUUACCACAUGCAAGGGACUCAGCCUGUAACUCAGAGGUUCCUCAGAGGAAGAGCCUCAGACCCGGGAGGGGUCCCAGCACGUUCUGGGGGAUGUUGGUCUCCCAUCCCCCACAUUUGACACCUCACCCUAACCACACCCUGCUUCCCCCCUCUAAACCCCAGCAUGGCCUGUUCAGCCGGAAUCUUCAGAAGCAGGACACAGCAGAAACCUGGAUUAGAACAGGGGAAUAACAAAGAUGGCAGCUGCGUGAGAGGAAGCAAGCCUUGCCACCUAUUGGAUGAAGUUUAAGUGUUCAAGAGAAUUGAGAUUGCAAGACAAACUGUGCUGAAAUCUGGAGACAAGGGUGAAUACAGAGAUUCCCAGCUAAGAUCUGCUUACCUAGAGUGGAAGCUACUGAAGCCAUGAACUGGUGGGAUCACUCAGAUGGAAUGAGGACAUACUGUGGGCCCAGAGCAGUCGUUCUGCUUGUGAAGGACUGUCUUCACCUGCAGCGAAGAAAUUGACAGUCUGCAGUAGAGACCUCAGCCUGCCUCUGCCUGAACUCUCAAGGCUUUGGUGUGAGUUUCAGAAAAAGAAAUCUUUCCCCAUGCCUGUCAAGAAUUGCACACUCAUUAACAUCUACAAAACCCAGGUAACUAAAACCAAACAACGGUUAGGCAUGUGGCAUUUGUGAGCUGUUUUUCUAUUCAACAACUGCUCAAACUUGCAGGUAAAUUAAUUAUUCUACAGAAAGGCUUUCCUGCUUAGCAAGAGCCCAGCAAACAGUAAAAUUAAGACAUGCAGUAAAAGCUUUCUCUGUAUGUGGUUUUGUAUGUAUGUGCACGUGUGCCUAUCUAUACCCAUCUAUACAUACAUAUCCGUAUCUAUGUGUAAUUUAGGUUCAUUUCAGUAAGCCUACAGCUUCAAUUCUUGGCAAACAGAUAUGAAAUGUAUACUUUACUUUCAUGUGUUCACUGAGGUUUUCCUUCUUUAAAAGCUUUGUGCUCCAUACAUUGACUGGUGUUUUGCUUCCCCUGUUAGCAUGUACACAUUUUAUUGACAACCUUCGACCUUUAUCACCUAAGAUCAUUAUCUUCUGUGCAGGGAUGCCACAACAUCCUGUUGAUUUUGCCUUCCCAGUUUUAAUGGAAGGUGGCUUUAAAAAAUGUUGGUGGGAACCCUCAUGUGCAUACAGUCACCUGGGGAGUCCUUGGUGGGUACAGUCCUUUAAUGCCCUGAGUAAAGAGCAGGGGGGUGUAUAGUGAGGGAAUCCAAGAAGUGGGUACAGGGCCCUUUCAGAAACAGCUGUGAAUGAAGACAAUGCAGAAUAGGUAUGAUUGUUUUAUGUCUUUAAUUUCUUCUUAGCCUACUUGCUUGCUUUUUUACCACAUGAUUCUGGAGAAUGGAAACCAAUUGCUAGGUGUAUAUGAAACAGAUAUUUAAUGAUGACUUUGUGAAGAAGAUUUACCGGGACAUUGUGGAAAGGAUUUGUGGAGAAAAAUGUCUAUUGUAAUGCUGUGCAUGCUGAGGCUCAGGGAGUUUCCAAAGAAGAAAAGACCACAGAGCUUUUGUCUGAUCAAUAGCCUCAUUAACUCUCAGCCAAUAACUCUAUUAACACUAAGAGCUGGUUUCCACUUUUGGCAACAAGUUCCAAGCUUGAAGAAUGACUAAUGGUCACUUUCUACAGAAAUCCACACCAUCUCCUGCUCACUGUGCAUCUGUGUCACAGAUGGUUGGGAUGUUUCCCAUAGUUUAUUUUUAUACUCUAUGAAUCCUAUAAAGUCUGUGCCUGAUUUUAAAAAAAACCCAUCCACCAAGGUCCAGUAUAUCAGUGAUGGGUGAUGUUAACUAUGUUGACCGCAUCACCAUCCUAUAGGAAUUCCUCAUCCAUCAUUCAGCUUUAAUACAUAGAGAGUCCUACUCAUUUAGGCAUCAGCAUGUUUUCUCAGUAUAAUUGUAGUGUAAGUACAGUUUAAGUAAGUAUAGUUGCUCACAGAGCACUAAAGAGCUCACAGUUCUUACUGAGAUUCCAACAUUUAUCUUGAACAAAUGCAUCCUGGAUUGCUGAAAAACCUUUCCAAAGUUCUAAAGAAAAGUUGAUUUUUAACAAUUUUUGCCAGUUUUCUCAUUGCUUUUAUGGAGGAGAUAAUUUUGUAGGUCGUUACUCUGAUAUUUCCCCUCAUAUCACCCUCUAAUUAGCUGUUUAGUGGCUAUAGGAUCUGUAGUGAUAAUCCCUAUUUAAUUUCUGAUGAUAAUAUGUGUCUUCCUUCUUUUUAUUGGUAUCAUUCUUGCUAAAGCUUUACUAAUGUUAAUGGCUUUUUUCAAAGAAACAUCUUUUUGUUUCACUGAUUUUUCUCCUGUUUUCCUAUUUUCAGUUUCAUCAUC